rnacentral:rRNA from 1 species
CAGCACCUCAAGUGGUCAGGAUGAUUAUUGGGCCUAAAGCAUCCGUAGCCUGUUCUGAAAGUUUCCGGUUAAAUCCAUUAACUCAACUAAUGGGCUGCCGAAAAUACUGCAGAACUAGGGAGUGGGAGAGGUAGACGGUACUCGGUAGGAAGGGGUAAAAUCCUUUGAUCUAUUGAUGACCACCUGUGGCGAAGGCGGUCUACCAGAACACGUUCGACGGUGAGGGAUGAAAGCUGGGGGAGCAAACCGGAUUAGAUACCCGAGUAGUCC